UUCGCCUUCAUGAAGCUGGAAUUGCUAGUAAUGGCAGGUCAGCAUACUGCCGUGAAUACGUUCCCGGGCCUUGUACACACCGCCCGUCACACCAUGAGAGUUGGGAAUACCCGAAGCCUGUGAGCUAACUUAUAGAGGCAGCAGUCGAAGGUAGAAUCAAUGAUUGGGUGAAGUCGUAACAAGGUAGC
rnacentral:rRNA from 1 species